rnacentral:rRNA from 1 species
GACGAACGCUGGCGGCGUGCUUAACACAUGCAAGUCGAACGGAAAGGCCCCUUUGGGGGUACUCGAGUGGCGAACGGGUGAGUAACACGUGAGUAACCUGCCCUUGACUUCGGGAUAACUUCAGGAAACUGGGGCUAAUACCGGAUAGGAAUCCUUGCUGCAUGGUGGGGGUUGGAAAGCUUCGGCGGUUUUGGAUGGACUCGCGGCUUAUCAGCUUGUUGGUGGGGUAGUGGCUUACCAAGGCUUUGACGGGUAGCCGGCCUGAGAGGGCGACCGGCCACAUUGGGACUGAGAUACGGCCCAGACUCCUACGGGAGGCAGCAGUGGGGAAUAUUGCACAAUGGGCGGAAGCCUGAUGCAGCAACGCCGGGUGCGGGAUGACGGCCUUCGGGUUGUAAACCGCUUUCAGCAGGGGCGAAGCUUGUGGUGACGGUACCUGCAGAAGAAGCACCGGCUAACUACGUG